GUUUUUUAUAUUAAAUUUUUACAUCACUUCUUCCUUCUCCUGACCCCUCUUUAUCAAGCCCCUGGUGGCUCAGUUGGUAAAGAAUAUGCUUGCAACGCAGGAGACCUGGGUUCAAGUCCUGGGUUGGGAAGAUCCUCUGGAGAAGAGAACAGCUACCCACUCCAGUAUUCUGGCCUGGAGAAUUCCAUGGACAGAGGAGACUGGCAGGCUACAGUCUGUGGGGUCACAACAUUCACUUUCAGUCUGGUAUUAGAAAAACAAGUGUAUGGAUGUUGUAUAUUUAAUUUUAUGUCCCUUCGUCCUUCUCCUGACCCCCUUUAUCAAGCCCUUUCACCACCUGUAAGAUGGAGUUGAUCAUUUUGGCUCUAUCCUGGAGCACUUUGGGAAAUUCAACACUAUUGAGAACCUGACCCUGGGCAGAGGUUGUGAAGCGCCAGCUACAAACGUGACAGACGUUGUGCUUCAUGGGCUGGACUUUCCCAGAGAAGAACAUCUCAGGGAGAUUCCAGCUUGAGGCACUGGGAAGUGGGGGCCCAGUUUGAGUGGAGAGAGAGGAGGAGAUGGAAGUGGAAGUCCCUUGGCUGUGUUCUCUGUUCUUUCUGCUGUAAGGCAGCACUCUGCACGGCAGGCAGCUUGCCUUGCUUGCCCAUCUGCAAGCUCUCCUUUCUCUCCAGCUGCGCGGGGCUGAGUCCCUUGCAUCACGGUGUGGGGAGGGGAAGGACCGAGCCUGGGGGUUCAGCACCUGCCCGGGCAUCCAUCGGCUCUUCGGCACCGUCCUCAGCAUCAUUUCCCGCACUCGCUGUCCCAGGAGCAGGCCUUAUUCCAGCGCAUCCACAGUCAGACUCAAGGUCCUCCUGCACAGCUGCAGGUUUGAGGAGAAAACCUGCAUUUUUUUCCUACCCUCAAGCCUGAGGUUUCAAGAGUUCAGAGGUUGCAGUAACAAUGGAGAUGCUGCUGGCUUCCGAUGAUGGGCUGGUGGGUAUGUGCUUCUCCUUUCAGGGUAUGAGAGAUGGUGAGACCACAGGAGAGGUCUCUUGUUUGCUGCCUUUUCUCUUACAAGUUAUCUGUCU
rnacentral:lncRNA from 1 species